CAAAGAACAAAGAUGGCAGCUGCUUUGUGGGGGAACAGAUUUGUGGCAAAUCGAGAUAAAAUAAAGAGGAAGGAGAAAGGAGUGUAUGGGAAAAAAUGCUGAGAAAAAGGGGCAAGUUGGGAAGGGGCGGGGGGGAGCAAGGCGGCUGUCAGCCUACAGAGCACUGUGCAGGAGGGAAAGCAGCGUGGGGGAAACAGAAAAGCUGGCGAACAUGAAAAAAACCAUUUCCAGGCUCCUGGAGUCAUGGGUGCAGAUAAGCAGAGACGUCGUGGCUAUGAGCCACUAUCUGGAGCACACGUUUGGGGAUGGAGGACAGUGCAGUGACUGCUGAUCCAAGCAGUGUUCCAGCGCCUUCAGGAGGUGGCAAGAGAAGACACAGGAGGCUGGGGACACAAGGGGUUGGAGUCACAAGAGAGCCUCUCAGGGCAGAUGGAAGGAGAACGCCUCCGCUGUGGUCAGUCCCUGAAGACAAAGUGGAUGCUGCUGGCACACUGGAAUGACGGCACGGGUUUGCUGACGGUUUUGCAUGGGAGCAUCGGUUGGGUUUACACCUACAAGUGCUUGGCUAUGGCAGCGGGGCAUCCCAUGGAAAGGCCAAAAAGCAGCAGAGAGAUCCAGGGAAGGAGGAGAUGGCACACGCUGCAAGCCUGUUCUCUGUCAGCGACGCUGCUGGGAGCACGGACACCCAUAGUGGAGCCAGCAGCUGAGGACAGCUCACAGGAGAGGAAAAAAAUGGAGCCAAGGAUGGCACUGUCUCUUUAAAAAUAAAUAAAUAGAU
ensembl:lncRNA